AAUAUGCCACAUACCUGCAGCGUCCACCAUCGCAGUAACACGCACAAGAAUGCGCUCUCUAUUGAUUUUGUUGUGCUUUAUCGCCGUCGUAGCUGUUGUUGCUGAUGCACAACUUGUGGGCAGUAACCCUUGCACGUUUGGACCGGCAUUCUGGUGCGCCAGCCUCGCAAACGCCCAGAGAUGCGGUGAUGGCGCUGUCGCUCACUGCAAUCGCGUAGGAUGGCAGGCGAAUUAACCA